CCCCACUGCUAUCGAGGUGGGACUUAGCCAGGACAGUCGAACGACUCGGACUAUGGCGAGAAGUGGCAAACUGCUCAGUAACACGUAGCUAACCUACCCUCAGGACGGAGACAACCCCGGGAAACUGGGGUUAAUCCCCGAUAGGCGUGGAUUCCUGGAAUGGUGUCACGCCGAAACGUUAACACACCAUGUUUGUGUACACGCCUGAGGAUGGGGCUGCGGCCGAUCAGGCAGUUGGUGAGGUAACGGCUCACCAAACCUUUGACCGGUACGGGCCGUGAGAGCGGUAGCCCGGAGAUGGACACUGAGACAAGGGUCCAGGACCUACGGGUCGCAGCCGGUACGAAACCUCCACAAUGCACGAAAGUGCGAUGGGGUUACCUCGAGUGCCGUCUGAAGAAGGCGGCUUUUCCAUUGUGUAAUGAGCCGUGGGAAUAAGGGGGGGGCAAGACUGGUGUCAGCCGCCGCGGUAACACCAGCCCCCCGAGUGGUGGGGAUGUUUAUUUGGCCUAAAACGUCCGUAGCCAGCUAGGUAAAUCUCUCGUUAAAUCCAGCGUCCUAAGCGUUGGGCUGCGAGAGAGACUGCCAAGCUAGAGGGUGGGAGAGGUCAGCGGUAUUUCUGGGGUAGGGGCGAAAUCCAUUGAUCCCAGGAGGACCACCAGUGGCGAAGGCUGCUGACUAGGACACGCCUGACGGUGAGGGACGAAAGCUGGGGUAGCGAAUCGGAUUAGAUACCCGAGUAGUCCCAGCCGUAAACGAUGCGGGCUAGGUGUUGGGUUGGCCACGUGCCGACUCAGUGCCACAGGGAAGCCAUUAAGCCUGCUGCCUGGGGAGUACGGUCGCAAGGCUGAAACUUAAAGGAAUUGGCGGGAGAGCACCACCAGGCGUGAAGCCUGCGGUUU
rnacentral:rRNA from 1 species